rnacentral:lncRNA from 1 species
ACAGAGGGAGUACAUAAUAAGCAAACAUUAAACGAUGUAAUAAAACCAUCUAAACACAAAGUUCUUUAUUAUUCUCUUCAGAUCUCUCAUGAGAUAUGGUACGUCUUCUCUCUAUGCUCGCUUGCAUUAAUUAAUAGGACGCAGGUGCGGGCGCGUACGACAUGUGGUCCAUUGAAGUAGCUGGCUCUGGUGCGGGCGCGUACGGCAUGUAGUCCAUUGAAGUAGCUGGCUCUGGUGCCAUCUUGCCUAACCUGACCGGUCCAACCGGUCCAAGAGUGUCCCUCACAAUUCCCGAGCUUCUAAGUUCCGACAUUGCUCUUCUUGAUUGUCCUUCUUGUGAUUCACAUAGCUUUGGCAAAUAUACACCUAGUAUAAAAAAAAACCGAAAUGUAUUUAGAGAAAAGGUGUAAUUGUAACCGAACAAGUCUAACAACACCGUACCUUCGCCAGCAGCAAGGUUGAAGAAGAGAUCGACGACGUUAGGGCAUUGGGUUAAGCAUUUAACCGAGCAGAGUUUCUGAGUAAACCGGGAUUCCAAUAGUGCGUCCGAGGAUAUACCCAAAGAUUUCCGGUCUAGACCACACGCUUUGAUGCACUCGUCUGAUUCAAUAAUGUUUGUGACCUUGUCUGCUUCUAUCUCCGAGGACCGACACGUGUACCCCUCGAUUCCACUCCUCUUAAUGCUCUGCUCCAAAACGCAGCGUUUACCGGUCGACGAGACCGCAAACGCACACGUGUCUUUGUCCAGCUUCUCGCACUUGACUUCGUUCCCUAAGAAAUUAAUUGCAAUGGUACUUAUUUAUUACAUGCAUAGAACCUCCAUUAAGUGAUCUAUAUAUGAUUGUCGGAUAAAAAGGUGAUCUAUAUUUUUUUGAAUUACCGAUCUAAAUAUGAUUUUUUCGAUUCAAAAUAAACAAAAAUACCUUACUUUUUCUAGAAAUAACAAGAUAUUGUAUGAUAAGAUUAUAUCUAGUUUGUAUGAUUGUAGAUAUCUUCAAUAUGUACAUUUUAAAAAAAGCUAUUAGUAAUUUGCAGGCCAUGAAUCUUUUACCAAGUGUGGUUUGCAAAUAGACGGCAAGGAGAAGCAUAGAAACAACGAAAAAAGUUUUCAUAGCCAUGUUGUGAGGUAGAGAUCACAAAAAGAGAGAUAUUAAAGAAAAAAAUGCUGAUAGAAAAUUUUGCCUAAAAUAAGAGGAGUGUUUCUUCGGGUGAAGUUAUAUGUGUUGGAGCAACAGCCUAUUUAUAGAGCAGGAUAACUCGAUACAUUAAUUCUUUUUUCUUAAUUUGAAAUAUAAAUGACAAUAGUGUUGACAAUGUAGACACUGAAGAGUCUUAACGUGGCAGACACUGAAGAGUCGUAGUUACAUUAAUUGGGUAGUCUAUUUGAUUCAUUACGAAAAGUCGAAAACGUAACAACCUUUUUGAUUAUAUACGUUUGAAUGAGUGUUGAACUUAGGCAUGCACAUUUGGUUAUCGGACCGGGAUCUGGGUAGGAUAUUUCAAAUAUCGGUGUAAUUCGAUAUAGGAAAAUUUGUACAUAUCGGUAAUUCUAAAUCUCGGAUUGAUUCGGUUCGCUACUUGGCGGAUUCGGAUUUUAUCGAGUAUAUCCGAAUGAACCGAAAAAUACCAAACCCGGUUCGGAUUGACUUAUUAUAAUCCAAAUGUAUAGAAGAAUAAUCCAUAUAUCCGAUUAGGGUCUAUUUUUGUAUAUCCAACUGUGUCCAAGAAUAUCCAAAAAUAGCUAAAACUAACAAAAAAUAUCUAAAAUAUCCGAUUUAUCCAAAAAAAUAUAUAUUUAAAAUUAUAACUAUAAUUUUUAAUAUUUGAAUUAUUAUAAGUAUUAAUAUAACUAUAUUUUAUAUAUACUAUUUAUACUUCCGGAUAUUUUCGGAUGCCUGUAAUUUUCGGAUUCGGUUCAGGUUCAGAUCGAUUUUUUGGAUAUAGGAAAUCAUGUACCAUUCAGGUAUCUAUGUCGAAUUGGAUUCGGUUUGUUACCUGAACUUCGAAUCCGGAUAAUUUGUCCAUGUCUAGUUGAACUGUUGAUGCAUAACUUUUACUCUGAAGUCUUACAUAUAUGCGUUUAUGCAUCAUGUUGAAAGUUUUCGUUAAGAUUAAUCUUCCUAAAUAAGGUGUUAUAAGGUAGAUCAAUAAACUUCCAUAAUUGACUGGUUAUGCAAAAUAUUAUACAUCAAGUGAAACUUAAAAUAAAUUAGUUUUUGUUAUGAAUAAACACGAAUUUACCUCAAAAAAACAAAAAAAAAACGAGAAAAUAUUCGUUUUGUGGUAUAUUAAAUAUUUAAAUUAAAUAAUUUACAAUUAUUUACGGAUGUAUUUAUACUAUUUUAAAACUCCGAUAUUUUUUAUUUUAUGAAAACAUCGCUAUCUAAUAAGUGCACUUUUCUAAAUUUUUAAAAUAGUGUACCUUAAGGAACUUUGGUUUUCACUUUUCACACUCCCAUAUGUCGAUCUUGAUCAUGAGUAAAUUUUCUUUACGUCUUACCGGAGCACAUAAAUUUAAAUCAUUCUAGAAUUAACACGUUUCAUGUACAAAAACAAUGGUUAUGACUUAUCGUUGCGACCCGUAUUACCCAUGUAGUUAGAACUGCUAAACUGAAGAUUAAACUAGUUUCUAAGACUUAAUUUAUAACUUUAAACCUGGGGAUCUCUACCUACAAAGAUUUAUAGUAAAUAUUUUGAUGUAUAUAAUUAUUAACUUUAACUAACGGAAACGAAUAUUAUGUAAAUAAGAAAUAUUGCAGUAAUUUGUGUUAAUGCCGUGAUUGUGUUAUUAUUCGAGUACAAAUCCAGAUAAUGCAAACUAUUGAUUGAUAAAACAAAAAAAAAAAGUAUGUUCCAAAAAAUAGUCAUUAAUUAUGCAAAGUUGGAGUAUGCAUUAAAUAUAUUUAUGAAAAAAAAAGUUGAUAGAAAUUUCUAUGUUCAUCUCAAUAGAAAAGUAUUAACGUGGAAAAUAGGUUUGACAAAUAAACAUUCCGUUGUUAAUGGCGAAAAUUAUGCAGUCAAAGUCGAGAUGUGAAACCUUGACUCACUUUUCCUAAAAUCUGGUAUGGAACCAUCUUCCCCUUACGGUCAUAAUUAAUUUGGACUAUUUCGUAUUCUUUAACUAACUUUAAACAUUUAGACUAAGGAAAUAAUACAUCUACAUAACGUUUAUAUAUUAAGUCGUUCAUAAGCUUUAUAUAUCUAUGAUUAACUGAUUUCUAAUUAAGCAUUAAAUUUCUAACCAAUUUGAAUAGUUUAUUUGUUCUAUUAUGUUUAUAAGUUUUUAAUCAAAUAAUAUAAGAUGAUCAUAGUUUCGUAUUAAACAGUUUUAAUAACAAUCUGUCACUAAACUUGUGAUGCUAACUUUAGUUUAUGCAAGUAUUUAAACUGCUCUUUUUAGUUUCCAUUUCACCUCUAUAUAUCUUAAUUACGUAUAAACAUAAGAUUUUGACAAAACAGAUACGCUAAAUAAUUUAUCUAAUUUGUCGUUUAAAUCGUAUUUUCUAAAAACAAACUUUAAACAAAAAGUCUUCUUGGAAGUGAGAUGGAAACCGUAAAUGACGGUAGAGACUUCGAAAGACAGAAACUUUCUUAACACAAGGACAGUCACGAGUCGUCUUUAUUACUCAAGAUAUUUUUAUAUACGAAUAUAUCCAAAAUUCUGUUGUUCAGUAAUAUUUACUAGACGUCAAAUUCACCUGGAAUGUGGUUCCACAUACCGAACUUGUUCCAAAGCGACUUUGUCUGUUUUGAGGUUCUAUGUUUGGGCUAGAGACUGCAUACGACUGUCGUUUGAUAAGUUUUUAUGAACUUAAAAUGGUCCAAAAUUAAUUCGUUUAAAAGAGAAAAAAAAAACAAAACAAAAGCGAGAAAAUAUCUAGCCGACUUCAAAAUAUAUAAUCUAAUAUAUGUAGAAAAGAGAAAGAUUAUGAGGUGUUAUACGCAAAACCCUAAAAUCAGCUACAAAUGUCAAAUACUCUAGGUUUAAGGUUGUUUAAAUCAAUUCUAAUAUUGUUAUGUUCGUUUAAUGUAAUAAUUAAAUACAUUUUCUGACAACCUCUCCUGUAAUCGAUGAGAUAGGUUCUUGAAUCAGUAAUUUUUUACUUAUAACGUAUUUUUACUUAGGAUAAGGAAUCCAAAUUUGACAUUGGUGGUUUUUUUUUCAUCAAAAAAUGUGAACAUUUUUAUCGUUCUGUAAACAGCCAAAUUCAUUGUUACGUAUUCCAUUCAAUCCAUUCAUGAGAUUUAAAAUUCUAUGCGUAUUGGUUCUUUCGAAGUUCGAACAGUUGAAAACUUCCAUGUUCCAUGCUCCAUGCUCCCAACCUAUUCUUUAUUGUAUAAACAGUCCAGUGUAAAGAUAAGAUAAUGCUUAUCCAUUUUGUGAUAUUUAUGUAACUAUUAAAAUAAUAAUUGCUUCACUAGGGGAUAAAAUUAGCCGAUUUACCUUCUCUAUAAAUAUCAUGUUGGCUCAUCAAAUUAAAUAGAUGGACAAGAGUUCACUAGUUUAGUUCCUCUCUCUUUCGUAGAUCACUUCACACACAAUACAUAUAUAUAUUCAACACAUAAACUGAGACCAAAAGUCUUCUACUCUCUCUCGUACACAUCGAACUUCCCUCGCUCUUUAAUAUAUAUAGUUUAUCUUUAUAUUUGUACAACACGUUAUCAGCACGAAACUCUGACCAACUGGGGUUUAUCAAUCCGAAAAUUCUUAAACCAGUCGAGGUAAUGUUUAAAUUUCUAUGUUUCAAUAUACUUAAUUUAUUUAAAAUUUAUUAUUAUUUUGGAGUGAGAGGCUAGGCCUUCUCCUUUUAUUUUCGGGAUGAUAGGCAUUGCCUUUCCCGACUGAUCGUUAUAGUAGGCUAUGCCUUCACGAUCAGAGAAACACGUGUAGGCGUUGCUUCCGUGAAUAAAAAAAAAAUAAUAAUAAAUGUAAAAAAUGGCAGACUAAGACUUUUCGGACCUUGAAAUAAGUAAAAGUCAAAAUGGUAUACCAUGUCUCUUCGGACUUUGAAAAAUGAUUAAUAUGGUAGUUUAAGUCUCCUCGGGACAUGUGGUAGGCUAAGCCUCCAAUUUUAUUUAUGUUCUUUAAAUUUUUGCAAUUUAAAUUUAUACCUUUAAUUUCUGCAUUUAUAUUAUGUAUUUCAAUUUCCGUCUUUAUAUAUAUUAUUAUUCUAUGAAUUCGGUUAUCAUGUCAAAUUUGACAAAUUUCAAAAUAAAUGCCCUUGAUAUUACGGGAAAUAGUUAUAUGACCUGGACAGUGGGUGUAAAGAUGCACCUGAGAGAAAAUGAGCUUUGAUAACUUAUCGAUAUAAUCUAUAUUGGAUGAGAAAAAGAUAAAGCCAUGAUAAUUUACACCACUUUAAUGAUGGUUUAUAAGAUGAGGUGUAUCAUGAGAAAGAUCUAGACGAUCUUUGAAUAAUCAAAUCCUUGAAAGAAAGGAUUCACCAAAUUGUCGGAGUUGAUGUAAAUCCUCCUUUAGAAUUGAAAAGAAAAGAAACUCAUGAUACUAAACCAUCAAGUCGGUCCUUUUUGAAAAGGACGAGGGUGUGGAUGCGGUUGAAACCGCUAUCGCGAUCGUGGAAGAAGACGAGGAAGAAGAUUCCGUCCAUUAGAACUUCCACGAAAAAUGAAAGUGGUCGGGUGAUAAAAGGCAAACAGAAAAGGUUUGCUACAUAUGCGACAAGAAAGAAAAUUGGGUAUGUAAUUGUCGUACGCCAAAUAUUUAGCCGAUCUAUAUCGAGAAUCAAAAAGAAAAAGAGAAAUGAAGUAUAUUAAACUUCGUCUCUUAUGAACCCGAACCAUUUUUUAUAGCUUGAAUACUCAUCUAGGUGAUUCAGAUUUUCUGGUUGGUCCAUAAAAUGAAAAUAAAAUACCGAUGUGAUAUGAAAAUUAUCUUCCUGAAUAAGAUUUUGAGAGUCAGGAUGGAGACAGAUAUACCUGACAGAUUUUGGGUCAUCGUACAUGACUACUAAAGGUAACAAAUAUCUUUCCUCUCUCAAAAGUAUAGUAUCUAGUAAUAUAAAAUUUACUAUUGACUCUAGAAGAGCUUAUGAUGAAAAGACAUGCAUAAGAAAAAGAUGGCAAAAUUAUGAAUGGUAAACCUGAAGUUUAUUGAUAUAUAGCCAUCUCCAAUAAUGUUAUCGACAUUAUUGUGAAAUGUUGAAAAACCAUAAGUUUUUCACAUAUAGCAUGUCAAGAAAAUAAAGGAAACCAUCAUGGGUGAUGCAUCAUCAAACAAGUUCACAAUAUGUGAUUUCUUUAAGAAGACCCCAAAUUAAUAUCUGACUCUAAAGGAUUUGAAACAUAAUUCAUCUCAAAAUGGGAAAACUGAAUAUGUUAUUGGUUCUAGAGUGGGAUUCAGUACGAGAUUUUAGAAAUAGGUUGGUAUCUCCACAGUUGUAACACAGUUUCUUCUCGAAGCUGCUCUCUUCGUUUUGGUCGGGGCAGUUUUUAAGACUAUGCCCUCGCCUUCUACAUUGCAAGCAUAUCUACAGCAAACAUUAAAAACAUUUACUAUUACCUUCCAGUAACCACCAGGUAAAGCGAUCAUUCAAGUAUCUGUCAUUCAGCUUUUUUUUUUUUUUGCCCCAGAGUCAAACCAUCAAGAGAGGUACAAAUGACAGAACAAACUUUCACAUGAAAUUAGCCUUUGAUUAAUUCAGACAGAACCUUUGACUAAUUCAGACAGAAUCUACUCGCUCAUACAUUGCUUCUAACUAAACCAUCGGAGCUGAAGUUAAAAACCAAAGUGAACUCAGCAAACCUUGUUUCUUUCCCACUCAGACUUUUCAGGGCAUGCAGAGCUUACCGAUAUGGGUUCUUUGGCUCACCAUUGUCGACUACUGUUUCCAAUUGAUUACACCGGCAGCAAUAUAGUGAAGAGGAAGAAAGACGCAGCGAGGAAGAGGCUUUGUUCUAUAUUUUUAAUUGAGCCCACAAAACAAUUCUCAUACUUGGGGCUAGGGGUGGUUCUGCUAGAGUAUGGUACAUAAAUGAAUAAUCUGUUUUGAGUAUUAUUAUCUUGGUAUCAAUAAGCUCAAACUCAUUACUAGUAUAUAAUACGAUAUUACAAGUAUAAAUUCACCAGAUCGUGCACAACUCUGACUGUCUCCUUAUGCAUCGUGGUGUGUUUUAUGAAAUACUCCCUCCGCUCCUAAAAGAUGUAUGUUCUUGAAAAAAAAUUUGUUUCAAAAAGAUACAUUUUUUUAUUUUUUCAAUGUAUGAGUUUAUGAAAAAUUGUAAGUUUCAAAAAAAUUAAUGGUGUUUAUUGAAUUUCUAUUGGCUAAAAGUUAUGAAAAAUUGUUAUUCACAAAAAACAAUGCAUAUUUAAUGAGUUUUCUUAAUAUAUGUGAAAAGUCUAGAAUAUGCAUCUUUUAAAAACAGAGGGAGUACAUAAUAAGCAAACAUUAAACGAUGUAAUAAAACCAUCUAAACACAAAGUUCUUUAUUAUUCUCUUCAGAUCUCUCAUGAGAUAUGGUACGUCUUCUCUCUAUGCUCGCUUGCAUUAAUUAAUAGGACGCAGGUGCGGGCGCGUACGACAUGUGGUCCAUUGAAGUAGCUGGCUCUGGUGCGGGCGCGUACGGCAUGUAGUCCAUUGAAGUAGCUGGCUCUGGUGCCAUCUUGCCUAACUUGACCGGUCCAACCGGUCCAAGAGUGUCCCUCACAAUUCCC